AGUGAACGCUGGCGGUAGGCCUAACACAUGCAAGUCGAACGGCAGCACAGGAGAGCUUGCUCUCUGGGUGGCGAGUGGCGGACGGGUGAGGAAUACAUCGGAAUCUACUCUGUCGUGGGGGAUAACGUAGGGAAACUUACGCUAGUACCGCAUACGACCUACGGGUGAAAGCAGGGGACCUUCGGGCCUUGCGCGAUUGAAUGAGCCGAUGUCGGAUUAGCUAGUUGGCGGGGUAAAGGCCCACCAAGGCGAAGAUCCGGAGCUGGUCUGAGUAGGAGGUCAGCCACACGGCGACUGAGACACGGUCCAGACUCCUACGUGAGGCAGGAGGGGGGAAUAUUGAAUAAUGGGCGCGAGCCUGAGCCAGCCAUACCGCGUGAGUGAUGAAGGCCUUCUGUUUGUAAAGCCCUUUUGUUGGGAAAGAAAUCCAGCUGGCUAAUACCCGGUUGGGAUGACGGUACCCAAAGAAGAAGCACCGGCUAACUUCGUGCCAGCCGCCGCAGUGA
rnacentral:rRNA from 1 species